rnacentral:lncRNA from 1 species
UCACCGAUGCGAUGUUCUGUCCGAUCGAUUCAGGAACCAACUAACGGAUCCCAAAGUUCUAUACUUUGAGAGUUCGUUAAACGGAUGCCAAAGUACUAUACUUUGUGAUUUCGGUAAACGGAAUCCAAAGUGUUACACUAUGUGAAAUUCGUUAAGGUUCGAAUCUCGUGACUACCGUUAAGGUUUGAUUUGUGUUUUACACAAAUACGUAUUCCAUUCUGUUAAACUAUAUGUUUAACUACAAAAAAUACUCCCAACUACACACUCACAAUCAAACAAACUAUUAAAUCAUCAGAAGAUCCAGAAUAAUAAAGUGCAUGCUUAAUUAUCGGAAGAAGUAGAAUCAAGAAGCUUGUUAACUCAAUCUUGCAUGCUUAUAAAGUAAUUACAGUAGAUUGGAGUAAGGAUUGGAUCCAGCACUGAAGGACUUCAAGAAGUGGCUUAUUUUAUUAAUUAAAUCAACUUAAGAAAUAUUGUUUUUGGGUUUAUCCCGUAUUAAAAGCUACCUUUGUA